GUCAACCAAAUGCCAGAAAUUUAAAACGUUUGUCACAAAACCGAUCGAGACCAACCACUUUUUAAUUGUUUAAAUAUUAAAAGAUAACCAAAUGGGGCAAAACAACAUGCCUCGUUUAAUUCCAUUAAUUUUGCUAUGGUAUUAGACUCGUAUAAAGCACCUAUAACCAUAAUAACAGUUCUUAUCGUUGGCUAUCAUAUGUCAUCCAUUGUUUGGAGUUUUGAGAAAGUUGAACUAAAGAAGUGCAAGUCGGUAAAAAUACAGACAGAGAAAAUCGAAACCAAAUCAGAAUGCAUAGAAGCUUGCAAUUGUGAGCCGAUAGAAUAAACGAAAAAUAAAACUGUCACUGUGAAGCCUAAUAAUGGUCAGUAAGUAAGAGUUUAGGAACUUUGAAAAGCAAUCGCCGGAGACAACACCGGUAUUUUUCUACUGUACAUAAAACUUGAGCCACAAAAUUAUUAAAGACUUCACUGAAUAUGACAGUGCUGGAGAAAAAAUUGCGAAGGCAAAGCAAACUUCGUAGAAUCGCAGAGAAGAUUAUAAACGUAAGCUUAAUAGCUACGAUUUCCGUUGCUUUUGCCGAAAUUUGCGCAGCCGCAUUCCUUUUACUUUGUUUUCCUUGAAUCGAAAUAAAGUAUUGAAUAAAAAAUGGCAAUGCAAAGAAUGUGGCAAAGGCGAAAGGAAAUAUUAAAUAGAGCUCUUUCCGUUUUGGCUGAUGUUUUUCUAUGGGCUGCUCUUGCAUUUGGAACGUACAUUCUUUUGGCAUGAUGUAGAUGAAAUAUUAAAUGGAAUUUUUCCAGCAACAUUUAACAGCAAGUGUUGAAAUAAUAGAAAUUAUAAUAGCCCGCCAAAAAAUAUUGUAAUCAAAUGUAGAAACCAACUAUGUCCUAAAUUGACUGCCAAUAAAGAAGUUUUACUGUUA